AAACAAACAAAUGAAACAUGGUUUGUCCACAGUACUUGAAGAAGAUAACAGUGAUGAUAUCUCAGAAGGCUAUGAAAAGUGUGAUGAAAAGCUUUCAUUGGAAAAUUAUAAUAAUGAUAGCCAAUUACAAAAUAAUACACAUAGUGAAAUUCCAUUGUAUGGAAGGAGAAAUCAACAAACACCACUUACAGGUUCAGACACAAAGUAAUGCAUUUCCCUUUCUUGAAAGCGAUACCCAUAAUAAUGUGUCACAAAGUCAGACACAUUGCGUUACAUUUCCCUUAUCUGAAAGUGAUACUCACGAAAUUGGGUCACACGACGAAACGCAUUGUAGUGCAUUUUACUUACCUGAAAGUAAUACAAAUGACAACGGGUCAAAAAAGCAGAGAUAUAAUUAUGAAACUCUUCUACUUGAGGGAACCAAUGUUCAAGGGUCACAAAAUCAGAAACAAUCUGUUAGCAUCCGUUUACCUAAAGAUGAUGUCUCCAAAAGUCAGGUAAAAAACAAUGAAUCUCCUAUAUGUAAAGAUGAUGAUAAUAACAGCAAGCACAAGUCAUGCAGCCAAACGGAACAUGAUGCACAGAUUGUAAAUGAAAGUGGUAACAAUUAUACUACAGUUUCUGACAAAUCAGCAGAACAUUUUGAUAUUCCAGACACCGUAUUUCUCUCAAUACCAGAGGAAAAUAAGAAACGAAAGAUGAUGCGCACAAUUUCAGCACCUGCUCCUCACAAAUCCAUAUCGCCUCGGUUAAUCAGAGAAGGUACAAACACCUGUAGACCUCAGAUGAACGAGAGGUCUCUUAGUGCUCCCGCUGUCCCUCAAGGAUUUAAAAGAACUCUGCCAACUAUCUUACUUCCUGUCCUCCAGGAGAACAAAGAUGAAGAGGAAAUAUCAGGACUAGUGCCACCAUUAUCAUAUGAAACCCUUCAACUCGAAGAUGUUUUCAAAAUGUCGAAGCCUCUGAAGCUAACUGUAGAAGGUCCUUACGGCUCACCUACCAGACAAAUCUUCAGAUCUCAACACGCAGUUCUCAUUGCUACUGGAAUAGGAGUGACACCGUUUGCAAGUAUUUUGCAAAGCAUUAUGAUGAGGUAUCGACACGCAAGAAUGAAAUGCCCGAAGUGUAACCAUCAGUGGGUGAAUCAAGUGCCACACUCUAUCCACAAUCUUCGUAAGGUUGAUUUUAUUUGGAUAAACCGAGACCAGCGGUCAUUCGAAUGGUUUGUUAACCUUUUAAGUGAGCUCGAGAUCCAACAAGCAGAAGAUGGUGACAUUAUGGAACGCUUUCUUGACAUCCAUAUGUUUAUUACAUCAGCUCUUCGUAAGAACGACAUAAAAGCCCUUGGCCUUCAAAUGGCUCUUGACUUACUUCAUGAAAAAUCGAAAAGAUGUUUAAUUACCGGCUUGAAAACAAGAACACAACCAGGCCGACCAGACUGGAAUAAGAGCACAGUUGGAAAAUGAAUUUCCUAAGCCUGAUGAUUCCAUUGUUCUCCUAUUUAUUGUAUGAAAUCGUACUCAAUCAGAUGUUUGUAGCUAGCCAGACGAGUACAGGGAUGGCGUUUCAACCUUUUCUUCCACAAAAUUCAUGCCAUCCAUUAAUGGCAGAUCUAAUUAUAAAAUAUCAAGAUUUUAUCUCAGCUCAAGUUGUAGACAAUUGGAAUGGAACAUUCUGCUGUUUUAACGUUUCUGCUAAUAUGGCAAUGUUUAACUGUAACGACUGCAUAGCUCAUAGCUUUUACAACCUGACACGAGUGGCCACACCGUACAUGUCCUGCUCUGGGAACAAAAGUUUGAUUUGGAACCAAUUCAGUCUUAACAAUCUUGUUGUGCAGUGCAAUUGUGUCAGACCCUUUUAUUUCCGAACCAUUUCUGCGAAAAUUACCUUCCAAGUCUCUGCUUUAGAUAUAAUAAGCGAAACUAAUGUACAAUUUGGAUGCCAGGAAAACUCGACAAUAUUCAGGAUGGAGAUUGCAGGUCCCACACAGACGAAUAUAACAGCAACCGACUGUGAUGCUUUCUCCUGCAGUCUAAUAAACAUCUUUAUUACUCUAUUUCCGUUUAGUUUCUUUCCAGUUUUUCAAGAUGCUCUGGACUUUUAUGUGACGAAGCUACUACAAAUUCAGAUGAACAGUAUUCCUUUCAUCUCUCUUCCGCAAUGGCUCACGUAAAACACAUCAAGUGUUUUAAAUAUGUCAACAAGAAAUAAACAGUCACAUUAAAAUAGCACGAGUUUAUGAAUUAGUUACACGUGUUCUUGAGUUAUGAACAGUCAACGGAAAUGCACUGCAACAUUAUGCAACAAAUAUGUUUUUACCAUAAUAAACUAAACAUUUAAUUAUAACUUUUUGAAAUAAUCCAC